AUGUGCCUCAUGAGGGUUAUUUUCAGUGAAAACGAUGCACUGCAGUGGUCACAGGAAAAGGGACGCUCUCCUGUGUGGGUGCGCAUAUGGGUAGAAUGAGGGUCGCUUUCUGCGCAAAUGACGCCUUGCAGUGGUCACAGGAAAAGGGGCGCUCUCCUGUGUGGGUGCGCAUGUGAUCCACGAGGGUCU
rnacentral:lncRNA from 1 species